rnacentral:rRNA from 2 species
UGUGGCCUUGAGCCGUGGCUUUCGGAGCUAACGCGUUAAGUAGACCGCCUGGGGAGUACGGUCGCAAGAUUAAAACUCAAAUGAAUUGACGGGGGCCCGCACAAGCGGUGGAGCAUGUGGUUUAAUUCGAUGCAACGCGAAGAACCUUACCUACUCUUGACAUCCAGAGAACUUUCCAGAGAUGGAUUGGUGCCUUCGGGAACUCUGAGACAGGUGCUGCAUGGCUGUCGUCAGCUCGUGUUGUGAAAUGUUGGGUUAAGUCCCGCAACGAGCGCAACCCUUAUCCUUGUUUGCCAGCGAGUAAUGUCGGGAACUCCAGGGAGACUGCCGGUGAUAAACCGGAGGAAGGUGGGGACGACGUCAAGUCAUCAUGGCCCUUACGAGUAGGGCUACACACGUGCUACAAUGGCGCAUACAGAGGGCGGCCAACUUGCGAAAGUGAGCGAAUCCCAAAAAGUGCGUCGUAGUCCGGAUUGGAGUCUGCAACUCGACUCCAUGAAGUCGGAAUCGCUAGUAAUCGUGGAUCAGAAUGCCACGGUGAAUACGUUCCCGGGCCUUGUACACACCGCCCGUCACACCAUGGGAGUGGGCUGCAAAAGAAGUAGGUAGUUUAACCUUCGGGGGGACGCUUACCACUUUGUGGUUCAUGACUGGGGUGAAGCGCA